rnacentral:ncRNA from 1 species
AGAGCCCUGAGAGAUGAUCAGGUAGAUAGGCUAGAAGUGGAAGGGUAGUGAUACUUGGAGCGGACUAGUACUAAUAGCUCGAGGACUUUACCUA